AAGACUAUAGACCUGCGGAGUACCUGCGGAGGGAUCAUUAGUGAACGCCCUCACGGGUUUAUAACUAUUCCAAACCUCUGUGAACCGUGCCCUUCGGGGCUAUUUUACAAACAUGGUGUAAUGAACGUCAUAUAUCAUAACAAAACAAAACUUUCAGCAACGGAUCUCU
rnacentral:misc_RNA from 1 species